rnacentral:rRNA from 1 species
GAUGAACGCUGGCGGCGUGCUUAACACAUGCAAGUCGAACGAGAAGUGAAGACGGAAACCUUCGGGCGGAAGGCUUUAUUUCGAGUGGCGGACGGGUGAGUAGCGCGUGGGUAACCUGCCUCAUACAGGGGGAUAACAGUUGGAAACGACUGUUAAUACCGCAUAAGACCACGGCACCGCAUGGUGCGGGGGUAAAAACUCCGGUGGUAUGAGAUGGACCCGCGUUCGAUUAGCCAGUUGGCGGGGUAACGGCCCACCAAAGCGACGAUCGAUAGCCGAUCUGAGAGGAUGACCGGCCACAUUGGGACUGAGACACGGCCCAAACUCCUACGGGAGGCAGCAGUGGGGAAUAUUGCACAAUGGGGGAAACCCUGAUGCAGCGACGCCGCGUGAGUGAAGAAGUAUUUCGGUAUGUAAAGCUCUAUCAGCAGGGAAGAAAAUGACGGUACCUGAGGAAGAAGCCCCGGCUAACUACGUG